rnacentral:miRNA from 1 species
GUGUUCAUACGUUCAACUUUUACUUAUUUGACAAUUAAAUAAAUGUGUGUGUGUGUGUGUGUGUGUGUAUAUAUAUAUAUAUAUAUUUAUAUACACAUUGCAGUGUACCCAAGA